rnacentral:rRNA from 1 species
UACAGAGGGUGCAAGCGUUGUUCGGAAUUAUUGGGCGUAAAGCGCGUGUAGGCGGCUUUGCAAGUCUUGUGUGAAAUCCCUCGGCUUAACCGAGGAAGUGCGCAAGAAACUGCAGAGCUUGAGUACCGGAGAGGAUGGUGGAAUUCCCCAAGUAGAGGUGAGAUUCGUAGAUAUGGGGAGGAACACCGGUGGCGAAGGCGACCAUCUGGACGGAUACUGACGCUGAGACGCGAAAGCGUGGGGAGCAAACAGG